rnacentral:rRNA from 1 species
CAGUAGCCGCGGUAAUACAGAGGGUGCAAGCGUUAAUCGGAAUUACUGGGCGUAAAGCGCGCGUAGGUGGUUCGCCAAGUUGGAUGUGAAAUCCCCGGGCUCAACCUGGGAACUGCAUCCAAAACUGGCGAGCUAGAGUAUGGUAGAGGGUGGUGGAAUUUCCUGUGUAGCGGUGAAAUGCGUAGAUAUAGGAAGGAACACCAGUGGCGAAGGCGACUACCUGGACUGAUACUGACACUGAGGUGCGAAAGCGUGGGGAGCAAACAGGAUUAGAUACCCGGGUAGUCCCUGUCUCUUAUAC